rnacentral:lncRNA from 1 species
GUGAAACCUGCAGGAAGCCCUGUCUGUUCUGUGUGGGACCCCCACUUCCAUCAUGGCCCCCACCACAGACACAGUGAGUCCACUCCAGUCCCUGUCCCAGCCUCUGGAGGGAUGCUGGCUCUGACCCCAUCUGGCCCCCUGCCUUUCCCUCGAGAUGUCCAUGGGCCCCCAACUCUUUGACGAGGUCUCAGACACCCCAAGGAGGCCGGGGAAAGGAUUCCCGGCGCAGCUGAGCUUGAGGCUGGGGGCUUUUCUGUUGUUUCUGCAGCCCCAGGGCCUGGCACCGUAGGACCUCUGCAGGCUGGUGGGGGUGAAUGAAUGAUUGAUUGAUGAAUGAAUGAAUGAAUGAAUGUCAGUUCAGCUGCCAUUUCACCGCCUGGAAUUUGGGACUCGGACUGGCUUCCUGGCUCCUCAGCUUGCAGACGGCCUAUUGUGGGACUUCACCUGGUGAUCAUAGAAACAGUGGACCCACUGAGACCAAGGGCAAGGGGAGGAAAGGCCCGGGGUAGGGCUGAAGACACAGGUUCCAGGCCCAGCUCUGCUGCUCACCGAUGAGGCUUCUCCUCUGUUGAGCAGCAGCCACAGGACCCUCGUCCAGAGACCAGCACCCCAGCCUGACCGGGGCUUCCUGGUGACCUGCCCAGGCUCCCACCUCUCUGCUAGCUGGGGCUGUAAACAUUUUAUACUUGUGAUGAG